rnacentral:lncRNA from 1 species
AGAAAACCACUUUCUCAACUUGAAUAUGGCACUUCUUUGAAGCUUAUUUUAAUUUUAGUUUUAUAGAUGCUAUUACUUUUCAAAAUUACUUAGUAACUUUUAUCCCAAUGUCUUUAGAAAUUUUAUAUCUGACUAUUGUUAUAUAAUGAGACUCUUUUGACAUAGUCCAUCUCAGGAUAAAGGUAUAAAUAUGAAAGUGAUCACUUUAAAAUUAAAAGGAAAGUAAAGAUAUGUUGGCUCAGGAUAUUGGUAAGUUGGCGAGUAUCUUCUUCAGCUGUUUAUGUUAAUUGAGACCCUCCACCAGAAAACAUUUUUCUUACGCUCAUAUUGAACAUUCAGCAAUGACAGCAAAGCUGGCCCAAUAAAUAUCUUCAUAAAUCCAUAAGAGUAAAAAUUACUUUGAGGAACUCUUGCAGAGAAAAUAAAAGUUAAAUAAGCAAUAUAAAUAAUUGAAAUGAAAAAUAAAAUAAUGGGGAGAUUUACAAAAUGUUAACAUUCCAGAUAAAUUUUUUUCAAUAAAAUUUUUAAAGAAUUUAAAUAAAAUUCGAAUAGAAGGAUUUCAAAAACAAAACAGGAGAAAGAGCCCUACCUAGAUAAUUGUUUUGUAGUGUACAACCUCAAAGAAAAAAGCAUGAGAACAGAACAAGAAUGGAAUUGCUACCAUAAUUAUUAGCAGUUGAUUGGAAUGCAAAAGCCAAUAUAUUAUUAAUGCAAAAGUACUUAAAACAUGUAGUUUUAUACCUUGCUAAAAUAAGAUAUAAAGGCUAGACCAAUUUCACCUUACCUUUAAGGUUCAAAUUUUAUUUACAAAAUAUUAGUAAAGGUGAGCUGUAUACAAUGAAAAGGUAAUCUGUAAUAGAUAGAAAUGAUCUAGCAAGCCAAGAAUAAUAAAGAAAAACUUCAGUCAUAUAAUGCUGAGUGAAAGAAGCUGAACUAAGAAAGCAACCCAGUCUGAUUCUAACUGAGCUUUUCAGCAAAGGGCAAAAGCAUAGAGAUGUUAAGAAAAUAAAACUAAUAAACAAAUAAAC